GCGACCCAGGGUCAGGCUGACCUCCCCCUGGGUUUAAGCCUUUAAUUAGCGGAGGA
rnacentral:rRNA from 1 species